rnacentral:rRNA from 1 species
GAUGAACGCUGGCGGCGUGCCUAAUACAUGCAAGUCGGGCGAAUGGAUUAAGAGCUUGCUCUUAUGAAGUUAGCGGCGGACGGGCGAGUAACACGUGGGUAACCUGCCCAUAAGACUGGGAUAACCCCGGGAAACCGGGGCUAAUACCGGAUAACAUUUUGAACCGCAUGGUUCGAAAUUGAAAGGCGGCUUCGGCGGUCACUUAUGGAUGGACCCGCGUCGCAUUAGCUAGUUGGUGAGGUAACGGCUCACCAAGGCAACGAUGCGUAGCCGACCUGAGAGGGUGAUCGGCCACACUGGGACUGAGACACGGCCCAGACUCCUACGGGAGGCAGCAGUAGGGAAUCUUCCGCAAUGGACGAAAGUCUGACGGAGCAACGCCGCGUGAGUGAUGAAGGCUUUCGGGUCGUAAAACUCUGUUGUUAGGGAAGAACAAGUGCUAGUUGAAUAAGCUGGCACCUUGACGGUACCUAACCAGAAAGCCACGGCUAACUACGUGCCAGCCGCCGCAGUAA